GAUGAACGCUAGCUACAGGCCUAACACAUGCAAGUCGAGGGACCGGCGCACGGGUGAGUAACACGUAUCCAACCUGCCCUUCACUCGGGGAUAGCCUUGCGAAAGAAAGAUUAAUACCCGAUAUAAAGGAUGGGGAUGCGUUCCAUUAGGUUGUUGGUGAGGUAAUGGCCCACCAAGCCUUCGAUGGAUAGUGGUUCUGAGAGGAAGGUACCCCGCAUUGGAAACAAGGCACGGUCCAAACUCCUACGGGGUGGAGGAGUAAGGAAUAUAGGUCGAUGGACGUUAGCCUGACCCAGCCGAGUGUGGUGAAGAAUGAUGGCUUAUGAGUCGUAAACUUCUUUUGUAUAAGAAUAUGUAUUAUAUGAAUAAGGAUCGGCUAACUCCGUGCCAGCAGCCGCGGUAAUAC
rnacentral:rRNA from 1 species